CAUGGCUCAGAUUGAACGGCCUUACACAUGCAAGUCGAACGGUAACGCGGGGGGGUGAAGGUUCGUAAGAGCAACCCUGGCGACGAGUGGCGAACGGGUGAGUAAUACAUCGGAACAUAUCCUGUAGCGGGGGAUAACCUGUCGAAAGAUAGGCUAAUACCGCAUACGAUCUACGGAUGAAAGCGGGGGACCGCAAGGCCUCGCACUAUAGGAGUGGCCGAUGUCGGAUUAGCUAGUUGGUGAGGUAAAAGCUCACCAAGGCGACGAUCCGUAGCUGGUCUGAGAGGACGAUCAGCCACACUGGAACUGAGACACGGUCCAGACUCCUACGGGAGGCAGCAGUGGGGAAUUUUGGACAAUGGGCGCAAGCCUGAUCCAGCCAUGCCGCGUGAGUGAAGAAGGCCUUCGCUACCGGUCGCUAACCACUUUCGGUGAAGACGAAACGGUUCGCGCUAAUAAUGCGAACUAAUGACGGUACUCACAGAAGAAGGCUAACUACGUGCCAGCAGCCGCGUACGUAGGGUGCAGGCGUUAAUCGGAAUUACUGGGCGUAAAGUCAUCGUGCGCAGGCGGUUUGCUAAGACAGGUGUGAAAUCCCCGGGCUUAACCUGGGAAUUGCGCUUGUAACUGGCAAGCUAGAGUGUGGCAGAGGGGGGUGGAAUUCCACGUGUAGCAGUGAAAUGCGUAGAUAUGUGGAGGAACACCGAUGGCGAAGGCAGCCCCCUGGGUUAACACUGACGCUCAUGCACGAAAGCGUGGGGAGCGGUUGUGAUUAGAUACCCUGGUAGUCCAACUAUGUCAACUAGUUGAAGAAAUUCCUUGGUAACUGGCGGCAUAAGGCGAAGCUAACGCGUGAAGUUGACCGCCUGGGGAGUACGGCCGCAAGGUUAAAACUCAAAGGAAUUGACGGGGACCCGCACAAGCGGUGGAUUAUGUGGAUUAAUUCGAUGCAACGCGAAAAACCUUACCUACCCUUGACAUGCUAGGAAGCCCGCAGAGAUGUGGGUGUGCCCGGAACCUAGACACAGGUGCUGCAUGGCUAAACAAGGUCAGCUCGUGUCGUGAGAUGUUGGGUUAAGUCCCGCAACGAGCGCAACCCUUGCCAUUAGUUGCGACAUUUAGUUGAGCACUCUAAUGGGACCGCCGGUGACAAACCGGAGGAAGGUGGGGAUGUCGGGGACGUCAAGUCGCCCUUAUGGGUAGGGCUUCACACGUAAUACAAUGGUCGGUACAGAGGGCUGCCAACCCGCAAGGGGGAGCUAAUCCCAGAAAGCCGAUCGUAGUCCGGAUUGUAGUCUGCAACUCGACUGCAUGAAGCCGGAAUCGCUAGUAAUCGCGGAUCAGCAUGUCGCGGUGAAUCCGGGUCUUGUACACACCCGCCCUAAGCCCGUCACUGGGUGAGUGCACCAGAAGUAGGUAGCUUAACCGCAAGGGGGGCGCUUACCACGGUGAGAUUCAUGACUGACUCAGUCGUAACAGUUUGCA
rnacentral:rRNA from 1 species